UCCUUUUUCUGCUUCUCCACCGUGUUGUGACACAUCCCAGGGGUCCCAGCAGGAUGCCAGUGCCAUGCUUUUAGGAUCAUCAUACGUUAGUAACUAAUGAGAAGCUGUGACGGAGAAAGCUUUGGAGACCAGAGCCCUUGGUGAGAUUCCAGCACCUGAGCACCCUUUCCAAAUUCAUUGCACAUUCUCAGCUUGGCCUCAAAUACUUCCCAACAGGCGGCACUGUAGGCUUCUGGAGGCUCUGGAAGCUACGGUUUGAGGCCCACAUGCAAGCCCUCUACCGGCUAUUAUUCAGAAAGGAACUUUCUGCUUUCUUGAUGUUCAAGGACAGAGUGAUGAGCCCAGGACUUCAUCUUGGAAGCCGACAGCAUUAUCCUUCCACAGACAAGGCUGUCAGCCGAGGCUACGUGGGAAAUAGGUUGAAUGCAACUUUCCUAAGUACUGCAAUCCUGAGGAAAUAAAGUUAACCAGAAGUAUGAACUGAGAACAGUCCUGGUGAAGCCACAAACCUCAGCCUCAGACAUGUGUGUUGACACACCGCUGACUAAGAGGGAGACACAACGAACUGAAUGAAGUAAACCAAGUAUUUCAUAUAAAGAUAGUACAGUGGUUCUUAACUGGAGGUAUUCAUCCAAAUCACAUGGAGAGCCUAAAACAAGAAAACGUUCCUUGAUCCCACUCCAGAAUAUUCUGAUUGGGCAGUAAUGGUUCAGAAUGGUUUCAUGAACCAUACAUGGAGAAUACAGAACAAGAAAAUGUCACUUCACAUCCUAAAAAGAGUACGUUUUGAUACAAAGGGAUACAACAGCUGGAUUAUGACCAGUAGCAUGUCCAAGUUGGAGGAGAAUUCAAGCCUUCAUUUUGCAGAAAAGCAACUAAUCCUCAGAGAGGGAGAGGAUCUCUCCCAAGGUCAGCAUGGGGACUUCACAACCUAUUUACAAAACUAUUAAACAGUGACAUAAACAA